ACCUUGAGCAAAUCCCAAAAAUAAACGUCCCAGUUCGGAUUGUAGCCUGCAACCCGGCUACAUGAAGCUGGAAUCGCUAGUAAUCGCAGAUCAGAAUGCUGCGGUGAAUACGUUCCCGGGUCUUGUACACACCGCCCGUCACACCAUGGGAGCCGGGAAUGCCCGAAGUCGGUGACCCAACCGUAAGGGAGGGAGCCGCCGAAGGCAGGCCUGGUAACUGGGGUGAAGUCGUAACAAGGUAUC
rnacentral:rRNA from 1 species